UGCCACCUUGUCUAAAACAAUGCAAUGUAAACCAUAUGUAAAUUUCAUAGGCAAUUAAUAAUUGUCUCCUGAACAUAAUUAGGCGUUGCCAGCAUAUUUUAACAUUUCUAAUAAUAUUAAAAUAAUAGGAAAUACUUGUUUACUAUGUCAGGGUAAAAUCAUGCACACACACGCACACACGAAUCUCGUGGCUAUACCAGCUGCCAGUCGCCAUCAAGAAAUCUGGAAACAACACCUGCCAAAGUUCACAUGAUUUUUGGCCAGGAUAUGCGCGAGGGGCCAUUAAACGAGCAACUGAAAUUGCCAGACAUAAAAACUCAGGGAAUGCAAAAACUUAAAAACAAAAA